GCGGUCGUUGAGGGGGGGUACUGUUAGGAUUGUGGCCGAAUAUUCAGCUGUUUUUCCUUUGUUUUGGUUUUUUGUUAUUUUUUCCUUCAGGCACGCCGGGGACAGCUGUGUCGGCAGGACGGGGAAUUGGAGCUGAGUGCAAUCACCUGUAUCAUUUAGCCCACCUGUUUCCUGUUCUCCGCCCCUUACUUAAGGACCUUGUCUACAUCCACUCUCCGCCAGUUCUUCAGCUUUUCCACGUGAUCGCCAGCUCCAGUUCCCCGCCCAGCAGUGACGGCGUCCUUAGUUGUGUUUUUGAAACCCUCCGUUUGAGGACAACUUUUGUUGUAUUUUUGAAACCCUCCGUUUGAGGACACCUUUUGUUGUAUUUUGUUACCCUCCGUUUGAGGACACCUUUUGUUGUUGUUUGUUGAAUAAAUCUCUAAGUGAGAACCCGCA